CGGAUACACGCAACUUAGAGAGCUCUCGAAAUUGAAGAUCAAAACCUCAUUCUUCAAGAACAAAUCGAGCUUGCUGCAAGAACAAAUCGAAGCUUUGAAGGACAAAAUGAAGCUAUUAGAAGGUUGAUUUAUAGGAGGAAUCAAAGAUUAUGCUAAGACGAAAAGGGAUGUUGGCCGCAUUCUCGUUCUCCUAAGUCUUUAUGCUAUUUACUAUUGCGGCUUCUCCUUGAGUUUUUCGAGAUUGUCGACAUUUGCAUGCUAUUGGCAGAGGUGUAAAAGGGAUGAAGUUAGAUUCGUGGAGAUGAUUUUAAUGGUUUAUGCGCUUUUGGGGAGAUUCCCUUGCAGAUGGAAUAUUGUAGCUUUUAGUAAAAUUAAUUUCAUAAUUCUUUAUGCUUGUAAUUUUGUUUUAACUUGUUAUUUUAUUUCCUAGUUUUUUGUUGGUGGUUUCUUGGAGAGUGUUCCUUGAAACUUAAGUUAGAGUUGAGAGCUUUUUUCUCAUGUUUGUAUAUUUUUUUUAAUCUAUAAAAUUCAUACGAGGUGUCAUUG